GCUCAAGCAUGAUAUAUUACCAUUGUCUCUGCUGCUGCACUGGAAAAGAGAAGCCCUCGAGGCUCCGGCUACUCAGCUGCAGAGCUCUCUGCCUCUCUUCAAAGUAAAGUUGAUCAAAUAUCGCGACGACAGACUACUAUAUCAUCAUCCUUCCAACUAGAAAUCUGUCAUGUCUCACACAUUGUUUUUCCCUCGAUUAUCAAAUACCUUCCAUUUUUCUUGUAAUUCCGGCCAGAUUGGUAAACCAAUAUUAUCUUCUCAUCCACCAACAGCUAAUUUAACUCCCCCUUCCACACAAUUCUCCACCAUCAAUGACGAAAACAACAUCAGGAGCAGCAGUGGCAUUGAACCCAAAAAUGAGGAAUUAUCCUUAUCAUCAUCAAAGCCUUCUACUUCAAAACCAUGUUCAGUUAUCAAAGCCCCAACUGCUCCAUGGAUGCAGGGUCCUCUUCUUGUUGAACCCAAUCAAUUCUUAAACCUCUCUGAUAGACCAAGAAGCAAAAAAGGCUCAAACUUUGGCAGAAUUGAAGACCACCACCCUGAUCAGGCUCUGACUGGUAAAAUGGGUGCUGGGAGAGGCAAGAAAGAAAUGAAGAAGAUUUUUAAAGGCAUUAAGAAACUUCAGGACAGCAAAAGUUUAGAAAAAACCCACAAAAAACCAGAAAUGGUAAAGUUCAUAUUCUCACCUGGAGAGCUCUCGAGAGGUGGGGACUCUGCAUCUGUUGAGGGAUUUAUAUCCGAGAGGGAAGAUGAAAAGAUGCACGCUCAGAAGAUUGUGGAAGAAUCUGAGGUUGGUUUUCAACUGGGAAAGGUUGAAGGUGAAGGGAAGGCAAAAUUUGGCGGCAAAAUGCCAUGGGAUAGGGGUGAGAAGUUGGUGACUUGGAAGGUGAAGAAGGAGAAGGUAGUGACUGCUGCUGAGUUGAGCCUUGAUGAGGAAUUGCUCGAUAGGUUGAGGGAUGAGGCUUCAAGGAUGAGGAAAUGGGUGAAGAUUAUGAAAGCUGGAGUGACUCAAGAGGUUGUUCAUCGAGUUCAUGCUAUUUGGAAGAACAAUGAACUUGCAAUGCUCAAGUUUGAUCUUCCCUUGUGUCGAAACAUGGACCGAGCACAAGAAAUUCUUGAGAUGAAAACUGGAGGAGUUGUAGUGUGGAGAAAGCAACAUGCUCUUGUCAUUUACAGAGGGGGCAAUUAUUUGUCAGCUUUGAAAACCUCCUUUGAUAACUGUUGUCGAGACACGAUUAUUGCCUCUGAAGUUAACUCUAGUGAACAUGGUCUGGUUGGAAUGAUGAGCGAAAUGGAUAAGAAAGAGGAGAAUGUACUGAUGAAUGGGUCACUUUAUGAGAUGGAAGCUGAUAGAUUGUUGGAUGGCUUAGGACCUCGCUUUCUUGACUGGUGGUGGAGAAAGCCUUUGCCAGUAGAUGGUGAUUUGCUUCCUGAAGUGGUACCUGGAUUUAUGCCUCCAUUUAGGCUCUGCCCUCCCCAUGCUAGAUCACAGCUGACAGAUGAUGAACUUACGUACUUAAGGAUGCUUGCUCGCCCAUUGCCAACUCAUUUUGUACUGGGAAGGAAUAGAAAACUUCAUGGCUUGGCUGCAGCAAUUUUGAAACUUUGGGAGAAAUGUCAUAUUGCAAAAAUUGCUAUCAAGUGGGGAGUUCCAAACACAGACAAUAAGCAAAUGGCCUAUGAGCUUAAGUGUCUCAGUGGAGGAAUUCUGUUAUUACGCAAUAAGUUUCUUAUAAUCCUUUAUAGAGGGAAGGACUUUCUUCCUUCUCGAGUUGCAGAAGUAGUAACAAUAAGAGAAAUGGAGCUCACAGAAUGUCAACUUAUGGAAGAAAGUGCACGGCUAAGAGCAAGUGAAACUGUUACUCAGAUACCAUCAAGCAAGUCUGCUAACAGUGGAACUUUAUCAGAAUUCCUCAGAAUUCAAUCAAAACAUUUGGGCCUUGGACAUGGAAACAGCAAGGCGGAAGUUGAACUGGAAGCUGAGAAGGAACAACUAGAAAGGGAACUGAGAGAUCAGCAGCGCAAGCUUUUGCUUCUCAAGAAGAAGAUAGAGAAAUCAGCCAAAAGAUUAGCAGAUCUAAAUUCAUUGUGGAGACCUGCAGAACGAGAUACAGAUCAGGAAAUGCUGACACAAGAGGAGAGAGAGUGUCUCCGAAAAAUGGGGUUAAAAAUGGUCAGCAGCUUAGUUCUUGGUACUAAAACGAAUCUUGCUUCGUUUUGUCUGUACUUCAGGAAGGCGUGGGGUUUUCAAUGGUGUAAUAGAGAGCCUGCAUCAGUACUGGAAGCACAGAGAAAUAGUAAAGGUGAUUACAAUGCAGAAAAUGUUCUCCCAAGUGGUUUAUACUGCCAAAUUUCUUGAGGCUGAAAGUGGAGGGAUACUGGUCUCUGUUGACAAGCUUAAAGAAGGACAUUCCAUCAUUCUGUAUCGUGGAAAAAAUUACAGACGCCCAAAGUUGGCACCUUUAAAUCUUCCAAGUAGGAGAGAAGCAUUGUCCAGGUCCCUGGAGAUUCAGAGAAUUGGUUCUCUGAAGUUCUUUGCAUGUCGAAGAGAGCAGGCGGUAUCUGAUUUGCAAUUCAAGCUGGCAAAGUUAAUGCAGAGGAAAAUUGAUUUGAUGGGAAUAUCUGAAACUGGAAAGGAUGAGACUGCAGCGCCACAAGAAAAUAUAUCAGUUUUACCUUCUCUGCUAAGAUCUCAUGUUGUAUGAGGUUUGGUUUCUGGAAAUAUUGGAUUGCUGCUUCUUUGAGUCGAAGCUGUCAGAAUAUGUACAGGUGAAACUUGACAAUACCUGGGCUUGCAUCAUUCGUCGAAGAUAUUCAAUGCCUCAUCUUGCAUUCUAUACCUUAGUAUUUUUGGUACAGUAUUAUGAUGAUUAGGAUUUAGAACUCUAACAUCGAGUACCAUUUGUGCUGGUCUCUGGGACAGCUGGUUUUCAAUUUUUCUUCCAGCAAGGGCUCUCAAUGCUGAGGCAAAUUAUGAGGAUUUUUUGGUGACUUGCUGUACGUUGAGACUAAAAUCUUGUCGUGUCAAAAAUAUUCUUCAUGUAGCUCUUCUGGUUUUGUGUA